AACAAAACCUCCUUCAAAACAACUCCACCGCCUGGAAAAACACACUUCAUUCAUAUCAAACGUUACUUCCAUCAAUCAACAGCAAUCAAUAUUCACCCACUUCCUACCCACUUUCCUUCUUGAGAGAAACCAAACAUUUGAAGCUUACUGCAAAACUCCCCCCACUUCCUCCUCCGCCAUCCGACCCCUCGACUCCCUCUGGCUCUCCGUCCAUCUCCUCUCCUCAUCCGCCACGGCCUCAGCCCCACGAGGAACUCGAUUACAGAUAAGUAAAAACUCUAUUUUUAAGACCGUCAGUCGCUAUUAUAUGGGCAACACUAUUAGAGAACCUGUUGAUAAAACGAAACCCACAAUAGUCAAAGUUUAAACUCCGAACCUUUGAAUCUCUAAUUAUUGCAGCUAUUUCAGAUCUAUUCUCGUUUACAUUUGCAGUUUACGAAUCACCGUCCGAGAGUCCCCUUCCACUUCCACCUCCUUGAGUCCAAGUUGAACACCCAGAUCAAGAGCCUGAAAGCAUGCCAAUGCUUCAGCCGCAACCGCAGACGGUACGUUCACAUGUAAAACUGAUCUAGAGCAAACAACUUCUGCCUUUUCAUUCCUUACCACUAACCCAGAACACGAUUCUCUUCGUUGUCUGUUGCAAGCGGCAUCAAAAUUAAUUUUGAUUCGCGGGCAAAUCGGAGCGACCCAUCUGACAUUAUUGACACUUCUCUCAGGUAAAGGCGCUUUCGCCCCAUCUAACUCCUUAAUGUAGUUAAGCACAAACUCAGCAACUUGAGCGCCCGAUUUCAUUUCCCCCUCAUGUAGAAAUCUAUUUCUAGAUGUCCAAAUCGCCCAUAGUGCACAAGAGAUCAAUCUGCACUUGGAAAUAGACUGAGAAACAAAAAAAUUCAUUAGAUCUGCAUGAAAAUCAGAAUCCACUGUCGGGCUAGUCCAAGAUAAAUUUAACUUCUCCCAUGUUUCUUUUGCGACAGGACAGUCCCUGAACAAGUGCAUCCCCGUUUCUGCUCCCGAAUGACACCUCCAGCACAUGGUAGAAUCAAUCAGCCUUCUGUAGUGUAGAUUACUGUAGUUAGGCAGAAAAUUACGAGUGCAACGCCAGAUUGUAAUUUUAAUUUUAAAAGGCAGCUCUAGGCUCCAAAGUCGCUUGUAAAAUUGUUUGUAACAAGUCUGUAAUUGAUCCUGGCCUUCUUGUAAAAGAAUCUUGUACCCACUUCGGACCGAGUACACACUCCCCAGUCGGCUUUCCACUCCAAGUAAGUUGGUCCACAUGCGUACUUAAUGACAAAGGAAUACUCAAAAUACGCUCAGCAACACUCUCACCGGGAAGUUAUUAUAAAUUAACUCAGCGUUCCAUCUUCUUGUAACAGUGUCAAUCAGAUCCGCAACCUUUAUUAAACCCUCAUUGAAAAUUGGACUCUGAAUUCUAACUUCUUCUAGUUCAGGUACCCACACAUCUUCCAGGAUGGAUACUUGCUGGCCAUCUCCAAUCCUCCAUCCCAAUCCUUUCCAGAGUAAUCCCUUUGCAGCCCAUAUACCCUGCCAG
rnacentral:lncRNA from 1 species